rnacentral:rRNA from 1 species
AGUGAACGCUGGCGGCAGGCCUAACACAUGCAAGUCGAACGAGUGGCGGACGGGUGAGUAAUGUCUGGGAAACUGCCUGAUGGAGGGGGAUAACUACUGGACACGGUAGCUAAUACCGCAUACCAUCGGAUGUGCCCAGAUGGGAUUAGCGAGUUGGUGGGGUAACGGCUCACCAAGGCGACGAUCCCUAGCUGGUCUGAGAGGAUGACCGGCCACACUGGAACUGAGACACGGUCCAGAUUCCUACGUGAGGCAGCAGUGGGGAAUAUUGCACAAUGGGCGCAAGCCUGAUGCAGCAAUGCCGCGUGUAUGAUGAAGGCCUUCGGGUUGUAAAGUACUUGCAGCGGGGAGGCGUUACCCGCAGAAGAAGCACCGGCUAACUCCGUGCCAGCAGCCGCGGUAAUAC